rnacentral:tRNA from 1 species
UUAAUUGAAGCCAAAAAGAGGCUUUUCAUUGUUAAUGGAAUCAAUGAUUUUUAAAUCCAAUUAAA